rnacentral:lncRNA from 1 species
UUAUAAUUCUCAACUUGGUGAGAUAGCUUUAAAUAAUGUUAAAAAAAAAUUACCACGUGCACCUGCUGCUACACCAACUGAAACGGUUAUUGAAGUUGAAAUAAAUGAACAACAAAAACAUGGUUUGUGUAUUACAUUUUAUCAAUAUUAAUAUAAUAUUGUAUAUUAUAACUUUAAACAUAAUUGUUCUGUAUGUAUUUUUUUUUUUCAUUAUUAGGAAAUUGUGGUGAUUUAUCAGACUGUGAAAGUUUUGGCAAUAAAACUCAAGAUCAAAAGAUUCAAAAUAAGCAAAAUAUAACUAGUUCUAGAGCAUCAUUAUUAAGUGCGUCUUCACAUCCUGAAAUUCGACCUUUUUUCAAAGUGAGUAUUAUUAAUAUAUUGAAUAUAGUUUACACACUUGCAUAACUUACAGAGAUCUUACUAUCUGUGUGUAAUGGGAAAAUAAUAAAAGAAUAAAUAAAAGCCUCUUCAUAACAUUAAACCGGUAAAUAGAUAUACCAGUACACUGAUUAAUAUUUUGUAUACUAGAUUCUAGAAUAUAAAGAUUUUUUCUAUGAUAAUCAAGAUUUCCUGUAGAACACCAAACAUUUGUACACUAAUUUCUAUUAGUGAUUUACACUAUGUUUAAUUUUUAAAUUUAAUAUAUUGUAUAUUUUUUUCAUCUCUAUACUUUUUGACUAGAAUCAUAAUAAAAUUUUACAUUACACAUAAUCAUGUUUUGUUUGAUGUUUUUUCUCUUCUUUAUUCUCUUUUACUUUUUGUUAUUUACUUAAAUUAUUUUAUUUUAUUAUAGGAUGUUCAAAUGAUAUUAAUAUUGCUAUGAUUUUAGGUUCUAAGCAAAUCGAGAAAUGUAUUGGUUUCAUAAUGAUAUUUUAUUUUUAUUUAUUUUAUACUGUGUGCAAAAAUUCCAUCAGAAACCUGUCUCCGAAGUAUUAAAUAUAGCACCUUUUUUGAAAGGAAAUUUUCUUGGGGUAAUACAGUAGAGGGGGGUCAUUUUUUGAUUUUCCCAGGGGGUUUUCAUAAAAAAAAAAAUGGAAAAAUGUACAAAAAUAAUAAAAGUAUUAUUUUUAAUUUACAAAUAAAAACACAUCUUUGUCAAAUUUGUAAUUUUCUCUGUUAUUUGUCUGUUAACAUGUAUUUGACCAGUUGUGGAUUUUACACCUUUAAAACCUAGUUAGUACUCUUCUACUCCGUUUUUUUUUUUAAUAGUUUUAGUCUUUUUAAAGUUAUAUUUGUGAGGACUUUAUGAUGGGCUAAGUAAAGUUUCCUCUUUAACAGAGGUUCCUAAACUUUUUAUGGUAUUACUCAUUUUGGAAAUUAUUGAAAUUUUGCCGACAAUAAUAUCACUUUUUUUUUCUGCUGUUUCUUGGAUCAGUUAUUUACAACAAAGAAUUAAAAACUAUGCAUUUUAAAGAAUGGCCAAUUUUAUUUUUAAAUUUGUAUCAAGGAAUAUUUAUAAUUAUUUACUUAGUUAGUAAAAAAUAAUAUAUAUAUUAGUAAGUAUAUAAAAUUUUAAUAUGAAACAUGUUAUUGUUUCUUAUAUUUUAUUACUGUAUUGAUAUUCACUUCAAUAUUUGUUAGCUUGAGAUGCAGUGAGUUUGACAAUAUCAAUUUGCUCCAUAAUUUGGUUUUGAUAGCAACCUUUGCUGAAAAUCCAACUUCACAAUUAUAUGAUUAAAUAAAUAGGAGUAACAUCUAUACAGCUUCAUUGAAAACAUUUCAAUGGGUUUCUCGAACAGACAAUCAGAAACUUUUAAAUUUUUUGAUUGAAAUUCAUUUUAAAUAAAUUAUUUUCAAUUAAUUCUUCUUUAGCUCUUAUUUCAUUUUUAGAUAGUUCUCUAUCUCACUCAGAAAAUAUGAAUCAAAAUUAUCUUUCAGUGUAUUUAAAUUAUUAGAAAUAGAUGAAAUAAUGUUAUCAUCAAAUUUUAUUUGUAAAUCAAAUAAAUAUAGAACAACUAUUAAUUUGAUUGUGUCUAUUGACAAAUUCAUAAUUGUAACACUCGCAGAUAACGAUUUAUGAUAAAACUGAAUUUGAACAUCAACGAAAAGUAAUAAAAAUACAGAAUUAUAGUACCACAUGUCAAAAAAAAAAAAAUAUAUUAUUUAAAAAUAUUAUGGUGACAGUUUGGGAACCUCUGCUCUAUAGUUUUGGCAGUCCCUUAAGUCUCCAUUUUUAUGUAUUGGACACAGUACUAAAUAAAAUCUGCUAUGAUUUUGGUAAUAUUUCUUCUUUCCAUGUUAUAGUUAUUACCUGUUUCAAGUAUAUUAUAAGUUCCAACAUUUUUGAGUCUUCUCUUAACGCUCUUCCUCUCUUUAGCAUAUUAACUACAUUUUAAUCUCCUCCAACAAAGGCCUCUAAAAAUUCCUCUACUGAAUAUUAUUAUUUUCAGUUUCUAUUUGAGUUGAUAUGUUCAAGAUAUUUUUGAGAUCUUUUCGAGUUCUUUUGUUACCUCUUCCUUAUCAGUGAUUAAUUUUAACUUUUUGUUUUUCAUUAUUCUUGAUCUAGGUUCGAAUCUAUUUGAUUCUGAGCGAAGCGAGGAAUGUAUUGGUUUUACAAUGAUUUAAAUUUUUUUUUUUUCAGUGGACAACUUUUCUAUCAGAAAUCUUGCUCCAAUUUUUAAGUGUUGCACUUUUUCUGAAAUGGAAUUGGACUGGGGGAGGUACUUUAGGGAGGUCAUUUUUGGAUUUUCUAAGUUGGCUUUCAUAAUAUCUGGGAAUAAACCGGGAUAAAAUGUAGGGAAAAAAAACUACGAAAAUAAUGCAUUUUGAAUUUAGUUUAAAAUGUUCAUAGUGGUUUAAAAUUUGGAUAGAAAACUUAUAUUUACCUUUUCUAGAGGUGAUAAAACUGUGAAAGCAUAUCAGACAUUUAUUAAUUGUUUAUAGAUAUUUUAAAUUUCUGAGUAAUUUUUAUUUAGUAGGUACUCUGUGGAUAAAAUUGUGCUUAGAAAUUGAUUACGAGGUUCAUUAGAAGUUGUAUAUUGUGGUCAAAACAAAAAAAAAAAAAAUGAGUUGUUUUAUAUAUGCUCUGAAUCUAAAAGAGCUGAUAAUGGAAACAGGUGCGACCACUGUUAUAGUGGAGAAAGUAGUAUACAGUGGUAUGGCGCGCAGCGUUUUAUUAGUGCUCCACUAUUCUCCCCUUACCUAAACUUAAAAGUAUAAUACCUUGUCAAUGAGUGGAUGGAAAUAAAAAAUGUUAAAACCAAAACGUAUUUAAAGUAAUACUUUGUCUUAGAGAUUUAUGGAUUUUUAAAUAUAGGCUCUCAUUUGAAAAACCAAAUUUGUAUUGUCUCAGGAUACUCCUUAAAUUUUAUGAAAAAUCUAAGUAUUCGAAAAUAUCAGUUUUAAUUACAAUUAAAAAUUCAAUAAACAGAAUUUGAAUUUAUGCAAAAUUUAAUCAAAAAAAGUUUAAUCUUCUGACUCUGUUUAAAAAAAUAUAUUUUCUUAAAUAUUUAUCAAUAUUAAUUCUAUAAUAUAUAUUAUUCUAUUUGCCAUAUUUAUUACAUUUAUUUUGAUUAUUUAAUUAUUUAGGCAUAUUACAUUAUGUUGUGGACCACUUCAUUUUUGGAUCAAAGAUAAUUGUGGUAGGUACAUUUAUUCAAAAGAAACAGUUUUGAAACAUGUUUGGUACAAAGUGUAGUUUUGUAAUUUUAUCUAUUGUAUAUUAUUAUUACUUGUUCAAUGUAAUAUUAUAAUAUAUUAACCUUUGGGAAUUAUAGGAUCCUGCUGGACGGUACAUCGUUCUGUAUACAUUUAUAGCAAGAGAUGAAAAUGAUGUUAGCGUUGAAAGAGGAGAAUUUGUUACUGUAUUGAAUAGAGAAGACCCUGAUUGGUAUUGGAUUAUUCGUAGCGACGGACAAGAAGGUUUUGUUCCUAGCGGUUUUGUUUAUCCAGCUGAUAUAAUACAAGGUAUAGAAUAUAUCCAAUAAAUUUGUUUCAUUAUUAAUGAUAAUUAAAUUAUUAAUUAAUAAUAAAUUAAAAUAAUAACAUAUAUUAUGAUAAAAUUAAUCAUUGUAUAGUCAAAAUAAAUAAUUAUCAAUUAAUAAAAUAAUAAAUUAAAACAAAAUUAUUAAAAUGGUUAAUAAUCUUAAAUAAAUAUAUAAAUAAAACAAUUCAUAUAUAUAUAUAUAUAUAAAAUGUUUUAUAUAUAUUUACUAUAUUUAAUUAUUGAUUGUUUUUUGUACAGGUCAUAUUAAUCAAAUGAAUAAUAAUAAUCAGUGUACUGGUGCUACUAAUACUGGACUUCCUCCAGUAACAAGAGCUCGACCACGUCGGAAUUCUUGUGUGGCUGAUGAUGAUCCAGCUAUUCAUGGUACUGAAAUGGUUAUGUUGUAUGAUUACAAGGUAUGUGCAUAUUCAAUGUAAUUAAAGGGUCAAAUGCAACAACUGGCCUUGUCCACUUUUACUUAAUGUUUGGUAGACAGAAAAAUCUUUAAAAUAAAGAAAAAGAUAAAAU